rnacentral:rRNA from 1 species
CCUACGGGAGGCUGCAGUGAGGAAUAUUGGUCAAUGGGCUUACGCCUGAACCAGCCAAGUCGCGUGAGGGAAGACUGCCCUAUGGGUUGUAAACCUCUUUUGUCAGGGAGCAACGCCGGCUACGUGUAGCCGGACUGAGAGUACCUGAAGAAAAAGCAUCGGCUAACUCCGUGCCAGCAGCCGCGGUAAUACGGAGGAUGCGAGCGUUAUCCGGAUUUAUUGGGUUUAAAGGGUGCGUAGGCGGGUUAUCAAGUCAGCGGUAAAAUCGUGGAGCUCAACUCCAUCCAGCCGUUGUAACUGAUGAUCUUGAGUGGGCGAGAAGUAUGCGGAAUGCGUGGUGUAGCGGUGAAAUGCAUAGAUAUCACGCAGAACUCCGAUUGCGAAGGCAGCAUACCGGCGCCCGACUGACGCUGAAGCACGAAAGCGUGGGUAUCGAACAGGAUUAGAUACCCCAGUAGUC